rnacentral:rRNA from 1 species
UAGGGAAUCUUCCGCAAUGGGCGAAAGCCCGACGGAGCAACGCCGCGUGAGUGAUGAAGGUCUUCGGAUCGUAAAACUCUGUUAUUAGGGAAGAACAAAUGUGUAAGUAACUAUGCACGUCUUGACGGUAUCUAAUCAGAAAGCCACGGCUAACUACGUGCCAGCAGCCGCGGUAAUACGUCGGUGGCAAGCGUUAUCCGGAAUUAUUGGGCGUAAAGCGCGCGUAGGCGGUUUUUUAAAUCUGAUGUGAAAGCCCACGGCUCAACCGUGGGGGGUCGUUUGAAACUGGAAAACUUGAGUGCAGGAGAGGAAAGUGGAAUUCCAUGUGUAGCGGUGAGAUGCGCAGAGAUAUAGAGGAACACCAGUGGCGAAGGCGACUUUCUGGUCUAUAACUGACGCUGAUGUGCGAAAGCGUGGGGAUCAAACAGG